UGUCCAGUAACUCCUAUCCCUACCUCCCCAUGGUGACGCCUGGGAUACAAGUAACGUUAGGGAAGAUCGGGUAACCAACCCCGGUGGGACCUUGGUCCUAUGCUGACAGGAAAGG
rnacentral:ribozyme from 1 species